AGCCUGAUCCAGCCAUACCGCGUGGGUGAAGAAGGCCUUCGGGUUGUAAAGCCCUUUUGUUGGGAAAGAAAUCCAGCCGGCUAAUACCUGGUUGGGAUGACGGUACCCAAAGAAUAAGCACCGGCUAACUUCGUGCCAGCAGCCGCGGUAAUACGAAGGGUGCAAGCGUUACUCGGAAUUACUGGGCGUAAAGCGUGCGUAGGUGGUUGUUUAAGUCUGUUGUGAAAGCCCUGGGCUCAACCUGGGAACUGCAGUGGAAACUGGACGACUAGAGUGUGGUAGAGGGUAGCGGAAUUCCCGGUGUAGCAGUGAAAUGCGUAGAGAUCGGGAGGAACAUCCAUGGCGAAGGCAGCUACCUGGACCAACACUGACACUGAGGCACGAAAGCGUGGGGAGCAAACAGGAUUAGAUACCCUGGUAGUCCACGCCCUAAACGAUGCGAACUGGAUGUUGGGUGCAAUUUGGCACGCAGUAUCGAAGCUAACGCGUUAAGUUCGCCGCCU
rnacentral:rRNA from 1 species